rnacentral:lncRNA from 1 species
UUUUUUUAUUCUCUUUUCUUAAUCCAUUACAGAUGAACAUUCUGCUUCAUCCUAGACUUCGAUUCUUUCUUCUUCCUCGAAUUAAAACUCAGAAAAAAGGACAGAUGAACAUUCUGCAGUGUUGUGGAAAUGAUAUUCCUGUAUACGCAAAGGAGCAGCAGAUCCGGGCGAAGCAGCAGCAGAUCCGGGCGACGGCGUUGCUUCAGCAGCGGCGACCUCGACUCCGGGCGAAGCAGCAGCAGAUCCGGGCGGCGGCGUUGCUUCAGCAGCGGCGACCUCGACUCCGGGCGAAGCAGCAGCAGAUCCGGGCGAAGCAGCAGCAGAUCCGGGCGGCGCGGCGUUGCUUCAGCAGCGGCGACCUCGACUCCGGGCGAAGCAGCAGCAGAUCCGGGCGGCGGCGUUGCUUCAGCAGCGGCGACGUCGGGGUGACGGUGGUUCCAGGCGUGGUAGCGCGGCGCGACAGCGAUCGAGAGCGAGAGAGACGAGAGAUGUGUGUGGGUGUGUUUCAGCGAUGGAGAAGAAGAAGGGGCGUCGGCUCAAGCAGAGAGACGCCGGCGUGGAGGCGGACGGCGCCGGUUCGCGCCGAGCAUUCGCCGGCCUCAGGCGGCGGCGGCAGAACCGAGAGAAGGGAAGGAGAUGAGCUCCGUACUGGGUGUGUGGGUGAGUUUGGUAAAACCGUAAAAAAGAGAAUAAAAAAAUGAGAAUAAAAGAAUGACAUGGAUUAAAAAAAGAGAAUAAAAAAAUGACAUGGAUUUAAAAAAAUAGAAUUUAAAUUACACUGUGGCAUCCGGCGAGCCACGUCAUAUUUCUGGUGACCGGAAAAUAGAUGCGGGAUAUAUUUGAUAAAAUCCUGAUACUUUGAGGGUUUUGAGAGCAUUUCGAAAGUUUCAGGGUAUUUUUGAUAAAGCGGG